rnacentral:rRNA from 1 species
GCGUGAGUGAAGAAGGCCUUCGGGUUGUAAAGCUCUUUCGACGGGGACGAUGAUGACGGUACCCGUAUAAGAAGCCCCGGCUAACUUCGUGCCAGCAGCCGCGGUAAUACGAAGGGGGCUAGCGUUGUUCGGAAUUACUGGGCGUAAAGCGCGCGUAGGCGGCGACCUUUGUCAGAGGUGAAAUCCCGAGGCUCAACUUCGGAAUUGCCUUUGAAACGGGGUUGCUUGAGUCCGAGAGAGGAUGGCGGAAUUCCUAGUGUAGAGGUGAAAUUCGU